ACAAGGUCAGUAUCAUUAGCUCCUGAAGAAAAAGAGAGACCAGUAUCAUUAGUUUAUGUACUGAUGCAUAAAUUAUUUUUAUUUUGACAGACAUAGAACCUGGCCAAUCUAAAUAUGAAUUAGGAAACUUUUUUGGACUUUUGGCGAAGAUCAACAAACCAUUCAUGUGGGACCGGCCACUAUCUUUAUUUUAUCCAUUACAUCUUGUUUUUUAUGUUAGAGCAUUCUUCGUCUCACGUCUUUUCUCCACGUGUUGUACGAACCCACGUUCCGGUCAGGCGGCGUGCUGUCUGUUAUUGGUGUGUUUUUUAUAAUUUGAAAAUGAAAAGACCCGCAAUCCCUAUGAAAAGGAAAAAAAAUCCUAUGCGGAGCUCAAAAUUUAAAGGAAAAUACAAAAAAAAUCUUUUUUUUCUUGCGCUGAAUAGAGGAUUAACAAAACCCACAAUCCCUAUGAAAAGUAAGAGCCCUUUUAUUCUUCUCGUCUUUUGCAUGAAAUAGAAAUAAGGAAUUUCAGACAUUUCGUGGAUAAAAAACAAUCUAACAAAAAAAUGAUACCGUUCUAGCAAUUGGCAAUAAAUCACGACUUUUUAUUAACUUGAUGGUAAGAAGUUUCAUGACCUAUAAAUUCAUCUAACACAAUCGAACCUUUUCAAAUUGUUUCUUUUUAGAAUUGAAAAUACUUGUGCCAAAAUAAAAGAUGCAGAGAAGAAGAAAAAAAGGCAUUGAACGUGUAAUAAAUUAAAAGUUUUUGGAUCUGUUGAAAAAUUAUUUCACAAUUUUGAAACCUUUCUUAAUUAAAUAUUCUGGAAGCUCAUAGGAUAC
rnacentral:lncRNA from 1 species